UUGUAAACUGCUUUUAUACAGGAAGAACCGCUCCCUCGUGAGGGAGCUUGACGGUACUGUAAGAAUAAGCACCGGCUAACUCCGUGCCAGCAGCCGCGGUAAUACGGAGGGUGCGGCGUUAUCCGGAAUCAUUGGGUUUAAAGGGUCCGCAGGCGGUCAAUUAAGUCAGAGGUGAAAUCCCAUAGCUUAACUAUGGAACUGCCUUUGAUACUGGUUGACUUGAGUUAU
rnacentral:rRNA from 1 species